UUCCUUCCUUCCUUCCUUCCUUCCUUCCUUCGCUUCCAAAAAAUUCUUUUUCAGUAAUUAUUACAGGUUCUGCUUAGUUUUUUUUCUGUUGUAAAAAAAAAAUUACAAUAGCAUUAGCAGAGUGUAGCUAAGGGUCUUGUUUAUAGCUGAACACAUUUGUGUCUUAAAGCUUUUAUGAAGACCUAGGAAGAAUUUCUCUCAGGCCUCAGAACCCAAAUAGCACAGCAAUGGCAUGUUUACAGAUGGUUUAUGGUGUUUGUCACAAUGGGUAGGGCCUGUGCUUGAGCAAGUUUUUUUUGUUUUGUUUUGGUUUGGUUUUUUAAGAUUUAUUUACUUUUAUGAGUACACCAUUGCUCUCUUCAGACCCUCCAGAAGAGGGCUUCGGAUCCCAUUACAGAUGGUUGUGAGCCACUAUGUGGUUGCUGGGAAUUGAACUCAGAACCUCUGGAAGAGCAAUCAGUGCUCUUAACCACUGAGCCAUUUCUCCUGGCUCCUGAACAAGUUUCUUAACCAUUUUUCCUGUGCCUUUUUUGUUUGAUGCUGUUUGCUUGUUUGUUUUAGACACUCUGUAGCUGGCCUGGAACUUACUGUUGUAGACCAGGCUGACUUGGAACUCACAGAGAUCCUCCUGCCUCUGCCUCUGAGUGCAGGGAUUAAAGGCAUGGGUUACUGUGUCUGAUGAUAGCAGCAGUCUUUAAAAGGUUGUUUUGAUGGUUAUAUAAAUUAAUUCAUGUAAAAAGGAUAGAAUAAUUUUAGCGUUUGCAGUCACUUAAGGUUAGGUGCUGCUAGUUCUGUGGUCCAGCUAUAGCAGGUGUACAGUUCUUUGGAUGCACACUAUUUUAUCCUGAAUUAAUGCCCCUUGGCGUCUUUCCCCUACUCUGCAUGUAUGCUUCAUCAAGCGUCAUCUCAUGCUUUUCUAUAACCAUUGCCAGUUAAAGCUUGGGAGCUUGUGUGUAUGAAGUUCUUAUUAAAGAGUAUUCAGAACUGGGCAUGGUUGCAUAUGCCCAGUUUUGAGACAGGAAAUCCUUCUGGUUUGAGGCAAGCCUGGGCUACAGAAUGAGAUCCCAGUCUGAAAUGAUUUUUCAGAGUUGAUAUUCAUCAGAAUCUUCUAAAAAUGAUUGCCUUUUUAGACAAUGUGCUGAGUUACCACAUGCAGGUUCUGUGGUUAUUCAUGAAUAGGUGUGAGGAGUUGUGUGUAGUAUCCAUAUUAUGCCAGGAUCUUCUUUUAGUAGAGUAGUAGGAACUAAGCAGAUAUGUACUAAAUAUCUUUUUAUAAGGAGACCAACUUCAUAUAUGAAAAUGACCUAUUAUCUUUAAAACUGGGAAAGGUAACACACACAUGUAAUCCUGGCGCGUUCAACUUAGGGCAGGAGGCUCUGCAGUGAAGGCCAAGCUGGUAGCAAGUCUGAAGCCAGCCUGGGCUAUAUGAGACCCUGUCUCAAAAGGAAGAAACAAAAUCAUUUUGGAAUUGUUCUUACUCUGCAUAAGUGUCCCUGCUACUUUUUUUUAAAAAGUAAACAAAUAAGCUUUAAAGAAAUAUAAAACAACCACAAUAUUUUAUAAUUGAAAUUGAGAUAAAACUGGUUAAUUUUGUUUCACUUAGUGUUUCCCAGAUUUAAUUUUCGUUAAAAUUAAAAUAUAUACAAUAUGAAAUUUAUCAUUUUAAUGACUUUUCAAUAUCAAGUUCAGUGGCAUUAUAUAUACUCACAGUGGUUUGCAGCCAUUACUGCCGCCCAUCAGGAAUUUUCAUCUUCUUAGACUGAACAGUACUGAACAUCUGCCCAGUCCUCCUCCCUCCAGCCCCUGGCAACUACCAGUGUUCUUUGUGUCAGUAGGAAAUGAUGUGUGCUCUAGGUGGUUCCUGAGGGUACACGGACUGUGUGACUGGCACAUUUCACUCAGUUAUGUCCCUAGGCUUUGUCAUCCAUUGAAGCAUCAGCAUUUCCUGGGUUUUAAGGCUAAGGCUAUAGCAAUGCAUGGGUCACAUUUUGUUUAUCCUCUACUGUAUAUGUUUAUUUUUUUUAGUAAUUUGUGUGUGUAUAUAUAUUUAGUAAUAUGGGUUUGUGUAUGUAGAUGUGGGCCCAUGUGUGCUGAGGCCAGAGACAUUAGGUGUCCUGUUCUGCUCUUCUUUCCUUAUUCUGUUGCAGUGUGGCUGAAGCUUACUCUAGGCUGCUGACCAAGCUCCAAUGAUCCUCCUGUCUCUGUCCUCCAUAGCACUAAAGCCACAAGUGUAUGUAGUCAUACCUAUUUUUUAAAAUUUAUUUUAUUUAAUUUUAUGUGCAUUGGUGACUUGACUGCAUGUAAGUCUGUAUGAGGGUAUCGGAUCCCAUGGAACAGGAGUUACAGAUGGUUGUGAGCCACCAUGUGGUUGCUGGGGUUUGAACUCAGGACCUCUGAAAGAGCAGCCAGUGCUCUUAACUGCUGAGCCAUCUCUCUAGUCCUACCAUACCUGAUUUUUUAUAUAGGUGCUGGGAAUUUGAACUUAGGUUCAAAUCAUGGUCCCUAAUAGUGUUCCAUUGCAUGUAUGUGUCAGGGCAUAUGCACAGUUGUUUGGAUGUUUAGGUUAUGUUUAGAUUUUCAGUAUAUGUUCCAAACAAUUCUGAGGUAACACUUAUGCUCAGUUACUUCCUAGGGCAAGUUCUAGAGUGGAUUUCAGAGAGAGUUUAUGCUUAUAUUUUGAUAAGCAUUACCAAGUUUCCUUUGCAAGUACCCUCCUGUUGUAAAUUAGAGUGUAAUGUUUCAGGACUAAUGUCAAUACUAGUUCUUCAAAAUCUUUUUGCUUUUUGUACAAUUGAACAGGAAAAGUAACUUGAUUUCAUCUUCUGAACAUCUGUUUUAGAAAUCAAAUAUACCUUAGCUGCUUAGCUACUCUUAAAAGAUUUUAAGCCGGGCAGUGGUGGCGCAUGCCUCCAGCACUUGGGAGGCAGAGGCAGGCAGAUUUCUGAGUUCGAGGCCAGCCUGGUCUACACAGAGAAACCCUGUCUCGAAAAACC
rnacentral:lncRNA from 1 species